CCAAAUGAAUUUGCCAGCUAACUAACUAAUGAUCAUUCAUGUAUAUUAAAACCAAAUAAAACCAAUUUAUUAAUUACAUUAUAAGUCCUUGUUUAAGAAACACAAGUUUCCUCCAAAAACCGGAAUUAAUACUCACACAAAAGCAACGAGCCUCUCUUCUUCUCUCCCUGUUUCCAUUCUUACCUUAAACCAAACAAACACAUUUCUUUACCAGUUUCUACAAGAAAUGGAGGAAAAUGAAAUGCAAGGAGCAUCAUAAACCUAACACACAUGCAAACAAUCGAUCACACCCUAAAUCUCAAUUUUCCCAAAUUGAAACCUAUUCCUCAAAACAGAUCGCACACAAAUGGAGGAAAAUGAAAUGCAAUGAGCUUCGAUGACACAUUCAAAACGAAGAUCGAGAUAAACACACUCAUUCAACAGAUAUCAAGUUAUUAUACAGUAAGGUGAAAGUCGAAACGCCGAUUCCAUAUUGAGUGAAUAAACAUUAUGUUAGAGAUUUUAGCAUGAGGUGAGUAAAUGGGGAAGAAGAAGUACCGACGGAAGAAAAUCUGAAGCGUUCGGCCACUUAAACUCCGAUGACUCUUCGAGCAAAAAUCUCUCCAAAUCCCCAGGGCUUCAGCUCAGUUUUCUCAAAGUUCUAAUGAUGAACUUUGAGUGAACUUUUGGUAGUGUUGAGCUUUGGUGAAUGGGUGUGAAAGAAAUCUCAGCAGAGUAACGGUGUCAAAAUUCGGAUCCCUCUUCAGUGGAUUUCACUCCCUUCUUAUAGAGAGGUGGUACGAGGUUCAUACGUCCUUAUCCUUCAUGAGCUGGCAAAUCUAUUCAGAAUCAUUCCGUUAGAGAGGAAUUUUUGGGCUGGAUUUGGUGGGGACCAAGGUUUUGGUUAACUGAUGCGAAAAGGAGAAGUUACCACUGAUGUACUGCAGGAUAUUGCCAUGAAUUCACACAUUGAUGUAACGUGAUGCUAUUGCACUCUCAUUAAGCUGUUAUGCAGUCCAUGCCGGUCUGUUAUGGAUUUGUUGGUUCGGCAAAGCUCCUGUAACUCCAUCUCGGCAGGUUUAUCCGUACUGGAAUUGUUCCUUAUUGUUGGUUAUGUCUGUUCGCACGACAAUGAUGUCUCUACUUGAUUACAGCUUGUUUUGCUACUAGUGAACCGGUUUCUUUCAGGAAGGAAUUUGGAGCUUGGGAAUUAAUAUGACCAACUUCUGCUUGCGAUUCUUGUGACCUGCUUCGAUGUGCCAUUGACAUUUUAGCUUGGUAUAACUAGUAACUUUGAUCUAUUUAUCCUGCAUGGAAUCGGUAUAAUAUGCUAAUCACUAUAACCUUGCUCUCACUUAUUCAUGAUUUUACUUCUGAUCAAACUGCUGUGGUACCAUUCAGGCAUUGCAAAACUUGUAUCCUGCAUGUUCUUUGGCUCAUUUGUGAUAUGCAAGUUGCAGCUGGCCUACUGGCAGGUCUAGCUCCCUGAUAGCUAAUUCUGAUUUACACACAGAUGGUAUGGUUAACUCUCAUCACAGUCCCGUGAUAGCAUUUCCUUACACCGCAUUAAUCAUGACGAGCUAUGUGCAAUGGCGGUUUUUAUUGGCUUUCCUCUAUGUACACCUGCAGUUGAUUCACAAUCUCAGUCCUUGUCAUUGACAGCUAGCCAACAAUGGCCUGAAAGCCAAGCGAUAUCCCACAAAGAUUGUUGAGACCUCCUGGUCCAGUCUGUGGAAACCGUAGUAACAGGUUUUAUUAUGUACCCUUUGUCUUGAUGAGUGUAUUGAAUUUGUAGCAGGUCUGUUAUAAGGAAAUGACAGGCUUCUAAACAACAUCCUUCACGUUGCACGCAUCCAAUGGCUGUUCUUAGCAAGUAUCUUCAUCUUGCACUUGUCAUGUUCACUUUUUGAUGCACCUCUGGACUGUGCCGUUCCUUAACUUUGUGAUCUUACUGUAUUGCUACAGGUAUAGACUAUUUGCAGCUUGCUCUAAGUGGUAUUCCUCUUACAGUUCGACAUGGUUUGUUUAUGACCUUGCAGCUAGGCCCUUACCUUCGUAUAUCACAACGUGGUCGCUUUGUUGCUAUCACAGGGUACUGAUACAUACUGAUAUGGAUCGGUUGGCUCCUUACAGUUUUUUUGUUAGCAAUGCCUGAUCUUUAUCCUGCGUAGUCGAAACACGGUGGCAUAAUCCUCACAGCUCAGAAGAUCAACAUGCACUUGAUCCAUUACAAGUCAUGCCCUUUGGCUUAUUGUACCCUACUGCAGUCGGUGAUGGUUGGGAGCAACGGCAACAGGCUGUGUUGGUGUAGCUAUAUGACCUGAAAUAUACGGGGAAACCGGUGGCUUGGGUGGUUCGCUUGGAUCUAAACCGGAUCCAAAACAUAAAGCUUGCCCCUGCAUUAUUUGUGUGUUUUGAUGACCUUUCUCAACAGGUUGGCUUCCUGAAGCAGUUUCCUUUCCUUUGCCAAUCGGAUUGCAUAGGCCUGUCGUGAAUUUGAGGCAUGGUUUUGCAUAUGUUGUACUAACGCUCAGGUCAUGUGCUUUAGUGAUGGUAUUGUGUAUGUCAGCACGUGAGUUGGUUUUUGGUUGUAAUAAGAAUGGAAAAGGUUUAUGUGUUUUGGUUAUAAUAAUUUAUGCAAUACAGUUUUGGCUUUUGCAAUGAACAUGGUUUGUAUUACCUUA